GCUGUUCGGUGAGAGAUUGCGAAAGAGUGCUGAUGCUGCUGGUGAUUUUGGAACGGAGUUUACAAUAUGUGAGCUCUUCGUCUACUCUCAAUCUGCCGUAGCCUCGAAGCUGCAGGCGUGCGGGGGUCUCCACCGCAGAGACGGGCCUCCCGCCCUGAGAUGAAGAAGAUCCUCCAGAUAAAGACUUCGAAGCGCCGGAUAGCGGCCGCUUCGUCCACCGCAACUGGAUCCGGGGGGAAGUCCGGCAGGAGCGUUCAGAAAACGCUGCAUCCACUUUUCACGUGCAGCUCCGAGCAGAGGGAUGCUUCGACGCAGCGACGGCUACGGACCGUAUUGGAUGAGGCUUCGUCGGUGCCAAACUGUCCGAGACCCAAAAGUGAGAUACGCCGCAAAAAUCGGAACACCAAUGCUAGUCUCGUCCCUAAUCUGUACCUGCUGGCAGCCGGUGACGUCGAACAUUCUUUCGUCGUUCCUGGUUUCGAAGAAUACUGUGGCAACCCUGAUCAUUCCAAUAUCCGGAAGUCGAGCGGUGAUCGAUUGGUCGCUGAUGAUUCCGAAGUUGUUCGGGACAGAACUGGAAAAGUGCCCUCUGAGAGCAGCAGAAAGUCUUCACCUCGGGAGAAAGAGAGGCUCCGGAGAGACAGACCGGCUGACAGAUGCGACCAGCCGAAGUCAACACGAAUCAGCUUGGAGAGUCUUCGACACGAAAAGGACUCAUUCGCAAAACCGUCGGUCGUUUCGCCCGCGACAACGGUGACAACGGCAACUACCUCGGAUCAGAGAAUUCCGGAAAUAUCGGCGCUCAAAGAAAUAAUUACCAAUCACCAGGUGCCUUCGAUGAUCGCUUGCUUGACCGAGAAAAGCCCCUCGUGCACCCCGACGCAUUCUGUGGCGCCCCCUCUCCCGGCUGAUCUGGAUCGGAGAGUUUCGGAUUGGGUGGACAAUUGUGUUUCUCAGGAAAUCGCGAAAGAUGUGGAUGUGGACAUCGUGCAGAAAAACAGAAAGACCCCUAUGAGGAGAGUCUGGUCAGAGAACUGCAGAGAUCGUACCUGAAGCUGGUGGACUCGGAGGACUGUAGCGACCUUGUCGUGGAAACGGCAGAUCGGCCGAUUCGAGCGCACAAAGCGAUUCUAUUUGUCCGAUGCACGAAGAUCUCACAAACAUUGAGUGCCGAUUCCUGCUUUUGGCAUUUGAAAUGGUGCUCUUCAAAGGCUGCUCUCUACUUUCUGAGGUAUCUUUACGCCGCCGACGUGUCGUUCGUUCCCGGUCUGAAUGGUCAUCUGCGCAAGGAUCUCCUCACUCUUUGUUGCCAGUACCAAACGGACGAGCUCGCAGCCCGGCUCAUACGGGAGCGGUCGCCGAGCCCCUCGCAAUUGACACAGAAGCAGCUGUCACCGACCGACAGUCGGACGAGGAAACGAACGGCCGACAAUCAAACCGUCGAGCUUCCCCUAGCAUCGGAGAACCGUCUCGACGGAUCCUCGUCGUCACAAAAGAAAACCCGGAUGAGCAUCACAUGUGAAACGGUCUCGGUGACGAUUCCGGAGGACAACCGGUGCUCGAUCCAGCAGUCCCCACGACUGCCCCAGUCAUUCCCACCUUUUCAACAGAGCACCCCGUUCAUCACGAGGAUUACCGACGACGAGAAACGAAACGACAGUGCGAGAGGAUCUGCAGGUCUUCCCAUAGAGCUCGACUCUAGUAGCUCGGACCUGUUCUCAGACGAUGAGGCUGUGAUACACCCUGCUCCGCUAUUGAGUCCCAUAGAUAAGGCCGAAUCCGAUGGCGGGGAGAGAGAGGCAUCGGUAGUAGUUGUAGAGGACGCGCCAUUUAGAAAAUCAAACAAGUUCAUGCAAAGAAAAAGCUUAAGUCAACCCAUAAUUAGCAAACGAUUUCCGGAUGAUUACUCCGAUAAUGGAGACGAUGACGAAGGCGCCCAACAACCGCAAGUCACCCCGAGAUCGUCUCGACUAGUCGAGGGGCUCGAUGUGACGCCGCUCCCGAGGUACAGCACAAUGAAAACCCCUGAGAUGCACAAACACCUCGAUCGCUAUGGAAUUAAAAAGGGCAUUGGGAAGCAGAAAGCGGUGAAACUCUUGAAGCACAUCUACCAGGCUACACAUAUGAGUCAACCGGUAGUCGCGGAGCCAGUCGCAUCGCCGACUUCGUCAUCAGGAGAAGACAGUGAUGUGCCGGAGGAGGAAACCAUGGUCCAUGACGAUGAUGAAGAAGUCAGCGACAAUGUCGACGAGAAAAUAACCAGAUACAUCAGAAAAACUCCCGCUCUCUACGACAAGAUACUUCGGUUUGAACCUCUUGAGGUGUCGGAAUUCAAGAAAGAGCUUCGAGAACACGGCAUACGCAUAAACGAUAAAAUGUUGGUGAACUAUUUGGACUUUCACUGCGUGAACAUCUCUUUCGGGACCCAACGGAAGGCUCAGCGGAGUCCCAGAAAAGCUCGUCGGAAAAAAUUCGUCCGGAAACCUGGUCAGGCUACAAUAGCGUCGUCGCAACCUUGACGAUCGUCCGAAGCACACUAGCUGGUAACAUAUUCUGUAAAAUUAAGUACGGGUGAUUAGACAUCUCGAUGGAACUGAGCGCGGAAAUGAACGGAGACAGUAGGUGGUCUCAAUUUUACUCCCUCAUCGGGGAUCGGAAUCAAUUUUGUCUCUGUUCUCCCUCGUCUCCCUGUUGCGGGAUCAUUCGACAUUCAAUGGUCAUUCCAUGUAUAAAUUUUUUCCACCAUCGAUCGAUCGAUGGAAAACUAGUUUAGAUGCAUGCAUAUUCCAUACAUAUAGACAGAAGCGUAGGUUAAUUUUCUUGUUCUCUAUUCUACCGACUGUUCCAUAGAAAUGUU